CUCAGUAACGGCGAGUGAAGCGGCAAGAGCUCAAAUUUGAAAUCUGGCCUUCCGGGCCCGAGUUGUAAUUUGCAGAGGGAGUUUCGGGGGCGGCGCCGGCCUAAGUUCCUUGGAACAGGGCGUCACAGAGGGUGAGAAUCCCGUACGUGGCCGGCGGUCAACCCCGUGUGAAACCCCUUCGACGAGUCGAGUUGUUUGGGAAUGCAGCUCAAAACGGGUGGUAAAUUUCAUCUAAAGCUAAAUAUCGGCCGGAGACCGAUAGCGCACAAGUAGAGUGAUCGAAAGAUGAAAAGCACUUUGGAAAGAGAGUUAAACAGUACGUGAAAUUGUUGAAAAGGAAGCGCUUGCCACCAGACUUGCUCGCGGGCGAUCAGCCCCCCUUCGCGGGGGGUGCACUCGCCCGCGAUCAGGCCAGCAUCGGUUCGGGCGGGCGGAUAAAGGCCCCAGGAAUGUAACUCCUCUCGGGGAGUGUUAUAGACUGGGGUGCCAUGCGCCCUGCCGGGACCGAGGACCGCGCUUCGGCUAGGAUGCUGGCGUAAUGGUUGCAAGCGACCCGUCUUGAAACACGGACCAAGGAGUCUAACACCUGUGCGAGUGUUUGGGUGCCGAAACCCAUGCGCGGAAUGAAAGUGAACGGAGGUGGGAACCCUUCCGGGGGCGCACCAUCGACCGAUCCAGAUGUCUUCGGAUGGAUUUGAGUAGGAGCACAGUUGUUGGGACCCGAAAGAUGGUGAACUAUACGUGAAUAGGGUGAAGCCAGAGGAAACUCUGGUGGAGGCUCGCAGCGGUUCUGACGUGCAAAUCGAUCGUCAAAUUUGCGUAUAGGGGCGAAAGACUAAUCGAACCAUUUAGUACGCCGCUACUAGAGAUACCGAAUCACAAAUGACAGAAGUAGUCCCCCCGUCGGUGGGGGGCGACACCGCCAGUCUUCGGGGACGCCCACGCGGGCCACCCGUACCGAGCUCCGGCUCAGUCACAGACUAAGUGGCGGUGGCCGCGGAACCUUCCUGCGGUUAGGAUAUAGUCGGC
rnacentral:rRNA from 1 species